ensembl:snoRNA
AUCCUUUUGUGGUUCAUAAGCAUGAUGAUUGGGUUUUCAGGCGAUUGUGUGAGAUGUGCCUCAUUCAAACCUUGUUACGAUGUCUGCCCAUUACUCAUCUGAUG